GCGAAGAGCAAAACACUUUUGAAAUUAUUUUAUAGAGAAUUUGGUUAGGACUCAUGGGCAAACACUCCCUAGACUCUGCAGGACAAGCACUGUCAGCAUCUAUUGAAUUUUUGUCUUGUAUUUGUUUUGGGAAGAAUCCACAUCAAUAAUCACAUGGGAAGACAGCACAGAAUUCCCUUCAAGUAUACCUUUGCACUAAGCUGUCAAACUCAUAAGGAAGAAAAUAAUGAGGUGGCAUUUGGAUAUACUCACACUGGCGAACAGGACAAGGGAAGAGAUAGAUGACCCCUUGCAGGAGACAAAGGAAAAGAAGAACAGUACAAUACUUAAAGGAGCAAAGUUUUCAAUAAUGUAACAUUGAAUGGUUUCCUCUUUGCUGUGGUUAUGUAGGAGAAUUCUGAAUAAAUUUCAUGACUUAA